GGUUUACCUGUGUGACUGCGUACCUUUUGUAUAAUGGGUCAGCGACUUAUAUUCUGUAGCAAGGUUAACCGAAUAGGGGAGCCGGAGGGAAACCGAGUCUUAAUUGGGCGUUAAGUUGCAGGGUAUAGACCCGAAACCCGGUGAUCUAGCCAUGGGCAGGUUGAAGGUUGGGUAACACUAACUGGAGGACCGAACCGACUAAUGUUGAAAAAUUAGCGGAUGACCUGUGGCUGGGGGUGAAAGGCCAAUCAAACCGGGAGAUAGCUGGUUCUCCCCGAAAGCUAUUUAGGUAGCGCCUCGUGAAUUCAUCUCCGGGGGUAGAGCACUGUUUCGGCUAGGGGGCCAUCCCGGCUUACCAACCCGAUGCAAACUGCGAAUACCGGAGAAUGUUAUCACGGGAGACACACGGCGGGUGCUAACGUCCGUCGUGAAGAGGGAAACAACCCAGACCGCCAGCUAAGGUCCCAAAGUCAUGGUUAAGUGGGAAACGAUGUGGGAAGGCCCAGACAGCCAGGAUGUUGGCUUAGAAGCAGCCAUCAUUUAAAGAAAGCGUAAUAGCUCACUGGUCGAGUCGGCCUGCGCGGAAGAUGUAACGGGGCUAAACCAUGCACCGAAGCUGCGGCAGCGACGCUGAUGCGUUGUUGGGUAGGGGAGCGUUCUGUAAGCCUGCGAAGGUGGCCUGUGAGGGUUGCUGGAGGUAUCAGAAGUGCGAAUGCUGACAUAAGUAACGAUAAAGCGGGUGAAAAGCCCGCUCGCCGGAAGACCAAGGGUUCCUGUCCAACGUUAAUCGGGGCAGGGUGAGUCGACCCCUAAGGCGAGGCCGAAAGGCGUAGUCGAUGGGAAACGGGUUAAUAUUCCCGUACUUGGUGUUACUGCGAAGGGGGGACGGAGAAGGCUAUGUUGGCCGGGCGACGGUUGUCCCGGUUUAAGCGUGUAGGCUGGUUUUCCAGGCAAAUCCGGAAAAUCAAGGCUGAGGCGUGACGACGAGGCACUACGGUGCUGAAGCAACAAAUGCCCUGCUUCCAGGAAAAGCCUCUAAGCAUCAGGUAACAUCAAAUCGUACCCCAAACCGACACAGGUGGUCAGGUAGAGAAUACCAAGGCGCUUGAGAGAACUCGGGUGAAGGAACUAGGCAAAAUGGUGCCGUAACUUCGGGAGAAGGCACGCUGACACGUAGGUGAAGUGAUUUACUCAUGGAGCUGAAGUCAGUCGAAGAUACCAGCUGGCUGCAACUGUUUAUUAAAAACACAGCACUGUGCAAACACGAAAGUGGACGUAUACGGUGUGACGCCUGCCCGGUGCCGGAAGGUUAAUUGAUGGGGUCAGCGCAAGCGAAGCUCCUGAUCGAAGCCCCGGUAAACGGCGGCCGUAACUAUAACGGUCCUAAGGUAGCGAAAUUCCUUGUCGGGUAAGUUCCGACCUGCACGAAUGGCGUAAUGAUGGCCAGGCUGUCUCCACCCGAGACUCAGUGAAAUUGAACUCGCUGUGAAGAUGCAGUGUACCCGCGGCAAGACGGAAAGACCCCGUGAACCUUUACUAUAGCUUGACACUGAACAUUGAGCCUUGAUGUGUAGGAUAGGUGGGAGGCUUUGAAGUGUGG
rnacentral:rRNA from 1 species